rnacentral:lncRNA from 1 species
GGAGUGGACCACUUGUAGUAGAAGUUCGGCUCUCACAGGAGCUCGGUUGGAAUCCUGAAGGCGGUCGACCACCAUAGAAACUUGGAUGGAGUCUGGUUACUGUAGAAAUCUCACCGUUGGAGAAGCUCGGAUAUUGACGAAGUCUGGAAGAAGUUCAGAGUAGGGUCAUCCACGGUCGGAAGAAGUCUGGAAGGGAUUCAGAGAAUAGUUGAUCACUGUAGAAGGUCGGCUGAUAGUGAAGCCUAGAGAGCCUUUAGAGCAGCCUGGUAGAUGGAUGGAGAAGCUCAUUGUUGGAGAAGUCUGAAAGCUCGAACGGUCGAGGGGGUUCAGAGAGACGCCAC